rnacentral:rRNA from 1 species
GAAUUUGCCUUUAGGAGGGGGACAACAACUGGAAACGGUUGCUAAUACCCCAUAUGCUUUCGAGUGAAACGGUUUUUCCGCCUAAAGAGAAGCUUGCGGCUGAUUAGCUUGUUGGUGAGGUAAUGGCUCACCAAGGCGACGAUCAGUAUCUAGUUUGAGAGGACGAUCAGACACACUGGAACUGAGACACGGUCCAGACUCCUACGGGAGGCAGCAGUGGGGAAUUUUCCGCAAUGGGCGAAAGCCUGACGGAGCAAUACCGCGUGAGGGAUGACGGCCUAUGGGUUGUAAACCUCUUUUUUCAGGGAGGAAUCAAUGACGUGUACCUGAGGAAUAAGCAUCGGCUAACUCCGUGCCAGCAGCCGCGGUAAGACGGAGGAUGCAAGUGUUAUCCGGAAUCACUGGGCGUAAAGCGUCUGUAGGUGGUCAAAUAAGUCAACUGUUAAAUCUUGAGGCUCAACCUCAAAAUCGCAGUCGAAACUAUUCGACUAGAGUAUAGUAGGGGUAAAGGGAAUUUCCAGUGGAGCGGUGAAAUGCGUAGAGAUUGGAAAGAACACCGAUGGCGAAGGCACUUUACUGGGCUAUUACUAACACUGAGAGACGAAAGCUAGGGUAGCAA